UGCCCAGACUCCUACGGGAGGCAGCAGUGGGGAAUAUUGGGCAAUGGGCGCAAGCCUGACCCAGCAAUGCCGCGUGAAGGAAGAAGGCCUUCGGGUUGUAAACUUCUUUUAUCAGGGACGAAGGAUGUGACGGUACCUGAUGAAUAAGCUCCGGCUAACUACGUGCCAGCAGCCGCGGUAAUACGUAGGGAGCAAGCGUUAUCCGGAUUUACUGGGUGUAAAGGGCGCGUAGGCGGGAUGGCAAGUCAGAUGUGAAAUCCAAGGGCUCAACCCUUGAACUGCAUUUGAAACUGUCAGUCUUGAGUACCGGAGAGGUCAUCGGAAUUCCUUGUGUAGCGGUGAAAUGCGUAGAUAUAAGGAAGAACACCAGUGGCGAAGGCGGAUGACUGGACGGCAACUGACGGUGAGGCGCGAAAGCGUGGGGAGCAAACAGGAUUAGAUACCCCCGUA
rnacentral:rRNA from 1 species